GGGGGUACAGCUGACCCUGGUGCUAGAGGGGGUACAGCUGACCCUGGUGCUAGAGGGGGUACAGCUGACCCUGGUGCUAGAGGGGGUACAGCUGACCCUGGUGCUAAAGGGGGUACACAGCUGACCCUGGUGCUAGAGGGGGUACAGCUGACCAUGGUGCUAGAGGGGGUACAGCUGACCCUGGUGCUAGAGGGGGUACAGCUGACCCUGGUGCUAGAUGGGGUACAGCUGACCCUGGUGCUCAAGGGGGUACAGAUGACCCUGGUGCUCGAGGGGGUACACAGCUGACCCUGGUGCUAGAGGGGGUACACAGCUGACCCUGGUGCUAGAGGGGGUACAGCUGACCCUGGUGCUAGAGGGGGUGUACAGCUGACCCUGGUGCUAGAGGGGGGGUGUACAGCUGACCCUGGUGCUAGAGGGGGUACAGCUGACCCUGGUGCUAGAGGGGGUACAGCUGACCCUGGUGCUAGAGGGGGUACAGCUGACCCUGGUGCUAGAGGGGGUACUCAGAAGGAGGUUGAAUGUUUGAAGGGGUACGGGACAUUAAAAAGUUUGGGAACCACUGCUCUAGAACAACCAGUCUUAUCUCAGAGGAGACCAGUGGAACCUAUAGAACCAACCAGUCUUAACUCAGAGGAGACCCGUGGAAACUCUAGAACCAACCAGUCUUGAGUGUCUAAUAGUUACUAGAAGUCUAAUUUGGGCCCUUCUGGUAGUCAGAGACUCCAAGCCAACAGAACUAGAUAAGAGACAAUGAUGCAUACGGAAAUUAUUACCAGUUAUGAAACAAAGGCUGAGCAGAAGACUUAAUAAGCUAGAGGUUUUAACACAGAGGCUGAGCUGUAGACUGAAUCUAGAGGUUUUGACACAGAGGCUGAGCGGUAGACUGAAUCUAGAGGUUUAAACACAGAGGCUGAGCUGUAGACUGAAUCUAGAGGUUUUGACACAGAGGCUGAGUGGUAGACUGAAUCUAGAGGUUUUGACACAGAGGCUGAGCUGUAGACUGAAUCUAGAGGUUUUAACACAGAGGCUGAGCUGUAGACUGAAUCUAGAGGUUUAAACACAGAGGCUGAGCUGUAGACUGAAUCUAGAGGUUUUAACACAGAGGCUGAGUGGUAGACUGAAUCUAGAGGUUUAAACACAGAGGCUGAGUGGUAGACUGAAUCUAGAGGUUUUGACACAGAGGCUGAGUGGUAGACUGAAUCUAGAGGUUUUAACACAGAGGCUGAGUGGUAGACUGAAUCUAGAGGUUUAAACACAGAGGCUGAGCUGUAGACUGAAUCUAGAGGUUUAAACACAGAGGCUGAGCGGUAGACUGAAUCUAGAGGUUUUAACACAGAGGCUGAGUGGUAGACUGAAUCUAGAGGUUUUAACACAGAGGCUGAGCUGUAGACUGAAUCUAGAGGUUUUAACACAGAGGCUGAGCUGUAGACUGAAUCUAGAGGUUUUAACACAGAGGCUGAGCGGUAGACUGAAUCUAGAGGUUUAAACACAGAGGCUGAGUGGUAGACUGAAUCUAGAGGUUUUAACACAGAGGCUGAGCUGUAGACUGAAUCUAGAGGUUUUGACACAGAG